rnacentral:lncRNA from 1 species
CGUGAGGCGGCGCCACGUUGUCGGGUGACGCCGUGUCGUGAGGCGGCGCCAUGUUGUGAGGCGGCGCCACGUUGUCCGGGGACGCCAUGAGAUGGUGCCGCGUUGUGAGGUGAGUGUGAGGCGAUGUUAUGUUAUGAGGCUGCGCCGUGUUGUGGGGUGACUCUGUGAGGCAGCACCGUGUUGUGAGGGGUCACCACAUUGUGGGGUGACGCCAUGUUGUGGAGCGAUGCUGUGGGGGGACGCUGUGAGGCGGUGCCAUGUUGUGAAGAGGUGCUGCAAAACUUCUUACAUGAGCAGCAAAGGAUUCUUUUGCCAUGUUACUGCCAAAGCUAUCUAUCUGCUCUUUAAAACAGCAGGGCAGUGGCAUGGGCUGCCCUGGGCCUUGCAGCCCAGCGCACACCUCCAGGCUCCCAAACCCUGCGGGUGCUCUCUC